GACGAACGCUGGAGGCGUGCUUAACACAUGCAAGUCGAACGAUGAAAUGGAGCUUGCUCCAUGGAUUAGUGGCGAACGGGUGAGUAACACGUGAAUAACCUGCCCUUAAUUUUGGAAUAACCCAGGGAAACCUGGGCUAAUACCGGAUAAGUAAACCUGUGGCAUCACAUGGUUUUGGAAAGUUUUUCGAUGAAGGAUGGAUUCGCGGCCUAUCAGCUUGUUGGUGAGGUAAUGGCUCACCAAGGCGACGGCGGGUAGCCGGCCUGAGAGGGUGCAGAGCCACACUGGCACCGAGAAAAGGCCCAGAUUCCUACGGGAGGCAGCAGUGCGGAAUAUUGCACAAUGGACGAGAGUCUGACGCAGCGACGCCUCGUGAGGGACGAAGGUCUUCGGAUUGUAAACCUCUUUCAGCAGGGACGAAGCGAAAGUGACGGUACCUGCAGAGGAAGCACCGGCUAACUAUGUGCCAGCCGCCGCCGUAA
rnacentral:rRNA from 1 species